GCGUGCCUAAUACAUGCAAGUCGAGCGAACGGACGAGAAGCUUGCUUCUCUGAUGUUAGCGGCGGACGGGUGAGUAACACGUGGAUAACCUACCUAUAAGACUGGGAUAACUUCGGGAAACCGUAGCUAAUACCGGAUAAUAUUUUGAACCGCAUGGUUCAAAAGUGAAAGACGGUCUUGCUGUCACUUAUAGAUGGAUCCGCGCUGCAUUAGCUAGUUGGUAAGGUAACGGCUUACCAAGGCAACGAUGCAUAGCCGACCUGAGAGGGUGAUCGGCCACACUGGAACUGAGACACGGUCCAGACUCCUACGGGAGGCAGCAGUAGGGAAUCUUCCGCAAUGAGCGAAAGCCUGACGGAGCAACGCCGCGUGAGUGAUGAAGGUCUUCGGAUCGUAAAACUCUGUUAUUAGGGAAGAACAUAUGUGUAAGUAACUGUGCACAUCUUGACGGUACCUAAUCAGAAAGCCACGGCUAACUACGUGCCAGCAGCCGCGGUAAUACGUAGGUGGCAAGCGUUAUCCGGAAUUAUUGGGCGUAAAGCGCGCGUAGGCGGUUUUUUAAGUCUGAUGUGAAAGCCCACGGCUCAACCGUGGAGGGUCAUUGGAAACUGGAAAACUUGAGUGCAGAAGAGGAAAGUGGAAUUCCAUGUGUAGCGGUGAAAUGCGCAGAGAUAUGGAGGAACACCAGUGGCGAAGGCGACUUUCUGGUCUGUAACUGACGCUGAUGUGCGAAAGCGUGGGGAUCAAACAGGAUUAGAUACCCUGGUAGUCCACGCCGUAAACGAUGAGUGCUAAGUGUUAGGGGGUUUCCGCCCCUUAGUGCUGCAGCUAACGCAUUAAGCACUCCGCCUGGGGAGUACGACCGCAAGGUUGAAACUCAAAGGAAUUGACGGGGACCCGCACAAGCGGUGGAGCAUGUGGUUUAAUUCGAAGCAACGCGAAGAACCUUACCAAAUCUUGACAUCCUUUGACAACUCUAGAGAUAGAGCCUUCCCCUUCGGGGGACAAAGUGACAGGUGGUGCAUGGUUGUCGUCAGCUCGUGUCGUGAGAUGUUGGGUUAAGUCCCGCAACGAGCGCAACCCUUAAGCUUAGUUGCCAUCAUUAAGUUGGGCACUCUAAGUUGACUGCCGGUGACAAACCGGAGGAAGGUGGGGAUGACGUCAAAUCAUCAUGCCCCUUAUGAUUUGGGCUACACACGUGCUACAAUGGACAAUACAAAGGGCAGCGAAACCGCGAGGUCAAGCAAAUCCCAUAAAGUUGUUCUCAGUUCGGAUUGUAGUCUGCAACUCGACUACAUGAAGCUGGAAUCGCUAGUAAUCGUAGAUCAGCAUGCUACGGUGAAUACGUUCCCGGGUCU
rnacentral:rRNA from 1 species